rnacentral:rRNA from 1 species
UACGUAGGGUCCAAGCGUUAUCCGGAAUCACUGGGCGUAAAGCGUGCGUAGGCGGUUGUGUGAGUGUGAUGUGAAAGCCCCGGGCUUAACCUGGGAAGUGCAUCGCAAACGACACGACUAGAGUAGAUGAGAGGGUGAUGGAAUUUCCGGUGUAGCGGUGAAAUGCGUAGAGAUCGGAAGGAACGUCGAUGGCGAAGGCAGUCACCUGGCAUCAUACUGACGCUGAGGCACGAAAGCGUGGGGAGCGAACAGG